UAGGUUCAGAGCUGAUCUGCCGCUCUGGUUCCUGAUACCAACAGGUGGAAUGGGCAGAGAGGAUGUCUCUGACAAGGACUGAGAACUAGAUGAAAAGGGAGAACAACCCUGUGGUACCUAGGGGGACAGAAAAACACACUCUGCAGGAUGAAGAGGGAGCUGAGAACCUUCUACAACUAUAGAAAAGAAGGAUACAGACCAAACAGGAAGAGACUUCACAGGUAGCCUAGCAUGUCAUCUUGGGAGCUUGGAAGGCCACCAUACUGAGUCUUCAAAGUUUAUGAGAGGGUUGUGACUCCCCCACAUCCUGGGUGUGUGCAGAAUGGGUUACAGCGGGGGCAGAAAGAGAGACGUGGAAAACACACUAGCAGAUGAAAUGGUGAUUGAUUGAUUGAUCAGAAGCCCAGAAGGAGGUGACCUGAGCAAGCUAGCACCUCACCAGCCCGGAUGGAAAGAUGGAAACAGUGGUAUUUAAUAGACGGGAGACCUGAGGCGAAUUUGAGAAGCAAGCCAACAAGAUUUACUGACAGGAAGAUCAUCAAAGCUGCGGUCCCCACCAGCAGCUCCUGACAUUCCUGAGGAAACCUCCUUCCUUCCCUUUGGCCUCUUGUGGCUACACACAGUCACUCACUGACCCUGGCACACACUGUAGGUCCUCAGUAGGAAACCAAGCUAAUCUCUCUCUCUAAGGGUUUUUUUUUUUUUUUUUUUUUUUUUUUUUUUUGCCAUUUUGAAUCUUCCAGGAGAGCCUAUCUUGCUUAUUCUUGUAGCUAAUCCCAGCCCCUUGCACCGUGCCUUCCCCAUAAAGAGAUGUGAAUGAACCACUGCUCCACCGGUGAGCAAGUGGGGGAGAACGGGAAACAGCUCCAAGUUGCACUUACAGAAGACUAAGUACUGACAGGAAGCGCUGGUUGGAGAGUAACUGACCACCCUGGGAGAGCAGCCACUGAGAGGAACAAAGACACCUUUCACCCUGCAGGAUUUCAGUCAUUCAUGACUCAGCACCGGGAGGGAAGCCAGACACAGUGCAGCAGGAUCCUAGCCCUGAAUGGGGAUAGAUCGGUAGCCCAGCCCCACUAACAAGAAAGGAUACAAAAAGGAUACAAAGGCAUACAGGUGAAAGGGACUCCAUACACCAUCCCAGCACCGUGCCCCAGCCCAUUUGAAAACCCGUUAUGGGGCAGAUCAUGGCUGCUUCCACACUCAACAGCAGCGACUAGUUACCUGGGAAGCCUUGCUUGGCUGCAACUUCAAAGAAAACGCCACGCAAACAAGAGUGAUUUUACAUUGCUUUCCUAUCAUACAUUGUUCCAAGCCCAUCCUAAGGGGGUGCUCGGAAUCCAGUAACGAUCACACGAUUGCCAACUAACCUCUCCUCAGCAGCCUCACACUGAUGGUGGGGGUACAAGCUAGCCACACACCGAAGGUAUUUACGGCGUGCCUAUACUGUUGAGUGACAGUCACAUUCUUCUUAAGGAUUAAGCCUCAUCAACCAUUUCAAAGCCAUCUUGGGUUUACUCUGGCACCGAGAGACGGAGACAGAAAUCAACAUCAUCUCGUUACGUGAUCAUCUUUGGCAAGAGACGACAUGAUUUCGCCUUCACAGGAAGGAAUGUUGCCUGUGUGGAGCAAAUCAGGCCCAGUGAACCUGUUCACCUACCAACCCCUCCGCCACUCGAUGAUGGAGAGAAAGCCUCUCUCCUGGUGGCCUAGCGGGAGGCUUGUGAUUGGUCCCAAACAUGAAGGCGAGAGAGGCCAGGAUGAGAAGUAGACAGAGGAACAGAAAGCUGUGGAGAGCCAGACAUGUAUGCUCAUGUCUUCAAAAGAGGGUCCUUGGAUUGAGAUUUCCAGGUUAGUAAUCGCACUAUGUCAAUCAUCCAUCUAUUUAAUCCUCAGUGGAUGCCACCCCAUGCAAACCCCACCAAACCCAUACUAAACCACCAAGAAAUCCAACCGGGACACCCCAGUUCAAGCAUUCCUGGGCUAACCAUUAAUGCCAUACUCUCUGGCAGAAGGGAAACAGAAAAUGGCGAAUGUAUCUGCAUUUGGUGGUAGCCAGUUGGAAUGAGAAAAUGGCAAAGGGAAAUGAGGUUCCCACUAAGGAACAAUGCUGAGGUGAGUGGUCCAGUGGUUCGUCACAGCAGAGGGACACUAGGUAAGCUGUUCCACCCUUCACAUGGGAUGUGAAGCACACAUCCAAGGGCCACCGUCUGGUGGCAAAACGUGCUUUAGCACAGUUCUGCGGGGGAAUGGUUUUUCCUUUGAGCCUGAAGACCCCAAACAUGUAUACUUCAUGCCAAGCCACUUCCUAGGGAACAAGUCCUUUAUCAGGACACACCCACCCAGCCACGUGGGUCGUGGCAGGCUCAGUAACAGCUAAGGAGAGAAACAGCGCUCAAGGUUCACCGAAUACCACAACGCCACGCAAAAAGUAGACUCUGGUUAAGAACUUUUUGUUAACCUGUCUUGGGUUGUGAACAUCGAUGGGAAGAGGGUGAAGCGGCUGCCUCGGUGAGCAGCUAGGAAACAGAAUGUCUACAGAGAGUGCUGGAGAGAGCACGGUGGCUAACAGUGCAUAGUGCUAUUCCAGAGGACACAAACUCAGCCCCUAUGUGGGACAGCUCACACCUGCCCACAGCUCCAGCUCAGGAGAUGGGACACCUCUGGCCUCCCCAUGCACCCACACUCAAGUGUACCUAAACACACAUGCACACACAUACACGUGCACACACGCACACGCACGUGCACAUGCACAGGCAAGCACACAUGAUAAAAAUAAUAAAACAAAUAUACAAAGACAUUAGAAGACCAAGAUUAGUGUUAUGGCUCAGCUUGUAACAGCAUUAGACACAUAAGCCUGAGGUCCCAAGUUCAAUGGCUGGGACACCACAUAAAAAGGCUAGAUGCACGCAUUGGUGCAGGCUUGCAAUCCCAGCAUUCCUAGGGUGAGAAGGGAGGCAGAGACAGGAGACAAGGCAGGAAGCAAUGGAGUGCAGCUGGGCAGAAACAAUGUGAGGCUCUACAUUAGCAAGGUGGAAGCAGAAAACUGACUCUGAUCUGUACACAUGGGCCAUGGCACCUGUAAGUCAUGUCUUCUCUCUCACGUGUACAUAGUAGCAGAUAACGCAAUCAUUUAACAACAAAGUAGCAUCGGUACUCAAUUAUGGACCUGAAUUUUGUGUGUGAGAUGAUGUGCUACUCCUAUCUCCACCUGCACCAUGCUGGUGUGACAGGUACGCACCAUCACACCUGGUUUCUGACAGGUGCACACCAUCACACCUGGUUUCUGACAGGUGCACACCGUCACACCUGGCUUCUGACAGGUGCACACCAUCACACCUGGUUUCUGACAGGUGCACAUCAUCACACCUGGUUUCUGCCAUGCUGGGAAUGAAACCUGGGCCCUGUGCAUGCCAGGCAAGCAUUCUGACAACAGACCCAGGCCCCCAGCCCAUUAAUUUUAAUUUAAAUAUUUAUUCAUUGUAAUUAGCUAAUUAUAAUGAAUUUUCACAUUCUAAACAAUUCAAAUUUUCAAUGUUUCUUCAAAAUAUAAUGCCUUG